rnacentral:tRNA from 1 species
GCUACGCGGCAUCUGCGGGCAGGAUGCGACGCUGUCGCAGGUGGUGUCGAAAGUUGCCCGGCUUGCACCAACGCAGGUUCCGAUCCUGCUGUCUGGCG